AGAGUAGUAACAGUAGAGUAGUAACAGUAGAGAGUAGUAACAGUAGAGUAGUAACAGUAGAGAGUAGUAACAGUAGAGUAGUAACAGUAGAGAAGGAGAGUAGUAACAGUAGAGAAGGAGAGUAGUAACAGUAGAGUAGUAACAGUAGAGUAUAGUAACAGUUGAGUAGUAACAGUAGAGAGUAGUAACAGUAGAGAAGGAGAGUAGUAACAGUAGAGAAGGAGAGUAGUAACAGUAGAGAGUAGUAACAGUAAGAAGAGUAGUAGUAACAGUAGAGAGUAGUAACAGUAGAGUUGGAGAGUAGUAACAGUAGAGUAGUAACAUAGUAACAGUAGAGAGUAGUAACAGUAGAGAAGGAGAGUAGUAACAGUAGAGAGUAGUAACAGUAGAGAG
ensembl:lncRNA